GCUAUAUCAUAUUGAAACACUACUUCCUGUACAAUCACCAAAGUUAAGCAAUGUCGAGUCUGGUCAGUACUUAGAUGGGUGACUGCUUGAAAAACCAGGUGCUGGAAG